CAGCCUUGAGGUUCAGAGUGACUUCUAGGCAGGCUUUGUGAGAAUCACUGUGUUGGGGCAGCAAGCUGAGAUUGGCUGAUUGACAGCAGAAGCUUCCCAGAGGUUCUUGAACUUAGCCCCUGCCAGGAACUGGUGUGGCUCUAUCUAACAAAUAUGGAGGGAAAGGAAGAGUCAGAACUUAUCCAUGUCCUAUAAAUGAGAAAACUGGGACUUUGGCCUAUAAAUCUGCCAGGUAACUGUAUACAUUUUACCUGGAGGAGAUGGUGCUACCUAUUUACCUGGGGGAGAUUUGCAUAUAUGUUAAUGAAGAGACUAUAUUGGUUGUUCAUCAGUGUAACAUCUCAUUGGAUAUUCAACAACUG